rnacentral:tRNA from 1 species
UCCGACAUGGUGUAACGGCUAACAUCGCCGCCUUUCAUGUUAAAUUGAAAGCAUUGUCCGCGGCAGCUCGGGGUUCGAUUCCCCGUGUCGGAG